GACCGGGGCACGAACCCGCGUCCCCUGCAUCGGCAGGCGGACUCUCAACCACUGCGCCACCAGGAAAGCCCUGCUCCUUCUCCUUGUCAUCAUCUCUGCCAAACCCUGGAGAGGGGGGUGAAGAGAAAACAUGCUCAGUCAGACCUCGGCAGCUCUGGGGAGAGUUUCCUGUUGAGAUGGCCCCUUCUCCCACCAGCUCCCCGGAAGGUCAUGCCCAGGAUACAGAGAAAAAAAUCCCAGAAUUUGGCUUUAAUGAUGCUGGGAAAAGAAUUCCAUAAACAUCUUUUCCAUUGAGUUGGUGGAUUUCAGUGAACAACAAUGGAUUAGAAUCACCCAAGAAAAUUUCUCAAACCCCUUCCACUUUGGAACCUGCUCCCCAAGUACCUGUUUAUGAAGAGGAGCCAGACGGAGCUGCACUUGCCACCAUUCCUGCUUCCGAACACCUGUGAUAGGGACGGUCACCUGAAAGAGAGGCCCCUUAGGCCUUUGUUAAACCCAGGAAGUGGGCAACAUUUCUUGACUCUUUGGCUCCCUUGGCCCAAAGCCCUCCUCCUUGCUUUUUUUUUUUUUUUAACUUAAAUAGGUAUUGAGAUAAUUAUAGAUUCACAUGCAAUUAUAAGAAACAGAGAUUCUGUGUUCCCUUUACCCGU